rnacentral:rRNA from 1 species
AUUUCCCUCUUUCUUCCGGCCUAACACAUGCAAGUCGAGCGGAUGAAGGGAGCUUGCUCCUGGAUUCAGCGGCGGACGGGUGAGUAAUGCCUAGGAAUCUGCCUGGUAGUGGGGGACAACGUCCGGAAACGGGCGCUAAUACCGCAUACGUCCUGAGGGAGAAAGUGGGGGAUCUUCGGACCUCACGCUAUCAGAUGAGCCUAGGUCGGAUUAGCUAGUUGGUGGGGUAAAGGCCUACCAAGGCGACGAUCCGUAACUGGUCUGAGAGGAUGAUCAGUCACACUGGAACUGAGACACGGUCCAGACUCCUACGGGAGGCAGCAGUAGGGAAUAUUGGACAAUGGGCGAAAGCCUGAUCCAGCCAUGCCGCGUGUGUGAAGAAGGUCUUCGGAUUGUAAAGCACUUUAAGUUGGGAGGAAGGGCAGUAAGUUAAUACCUUGCUGUUUUGACGUUACCAACAGAAUAAGCACCGGCUAACUUCGUG